AUCCUAUCCCUCUUGCAUGGAAAAGGACUGCAGCUGGUUGCAUUCAGUGCAGGGAUUUUCAGGGUAGCCAGCUGUGGGAAUUUAAUUGAUUCAUCCAACACUCUAUAAAGAUCUAAGUCAUAGAAAAAUCAAAGUGAUGCGUGUCACUGGUUUGGAUCAUCUGAACACAAUUCAAAAAGAAAAAGGUGACUUUUUAAAAUUUCCCACCAGCAAGUGGGAGAGGUGUAGGCAAGUGAGAAUUUAUGCACAAAAUGCAAAAUCCAAGCACAAGAAAAGACCUCUUAUCAUCAUAUAAAGACUUCCACGUGCAAUAAUUACUGGUCAGACCAUCCACACGCUACAUUACUUAAUGACAUCCAAAGAUUGCUGCACUUUCUGAACCAAUAGCAGCUAUACAGUGACCAGCGUCGUUACUGAAUGGAAAAAUUGGCCCAACCGCUGGUGAAUGGUAUGCAGUAGGUUUCCCAUUGAACUACACAGCACAAAAAUGAUCCACAUUGGUAAAUCAUUGUGUGUGCUUUGCAGUUCUUAUGCAUAUCCUAUACUGGACAGCUUCCAUUCAUUCUGGCACCCAAGGCAAACAAGUGUAAGAGAUGAAAGUGAAAAUGCAUAUGUUAAAUCCCAAAUGGAAGCAGAUGAGCGUGAUAUAUACAUAGAGUUGCUUAGCAACAAACAUGUUUUGGCCACAGGAAUUGUGACAUCAGUCAGAGACGGGAAAGAGAAGCUAUUCUGCACUACUUGACUGUCUCCCUAGAAGCUUCGAAGAGAAAUCUGAUCCUGAGUGAGGGGAGCAGAACAUUUGAAGCAUGCACUUUGAGUUCCUUGCAAAAAAAAAAAAGGACUUUCUCACAAGAUUAAGAAAUGCAGAGGCGCAUAAAGUAUGUGUGAGAACUCAAAUGCUCUUAGAUUUAGGAAGUGAAGUGUGUGCAGCUUGA